rnacentral:rRNA from 1 species
GUGUCAGCAGCCGCGGUAAAACGUAGGUGGCGAGCGUUAUCCGGAUUUACUGGGCGUAAAGCGCGUUCAGGCGGCUUGGCAAGUCGGGCAUGAAAUCUUUCGGCUCAACCGGGAGAGGCUGUCCGAUACUGCUAGGCUUGAGGACGGUAGAGGAUGGUGGAAUUCCGCGUGUAGUGGUGAAAUGCGUAGAUAUGCGGAGGAACACCAGUGGCGAAGGCGGCCAUCUGGACCGAUCCUGACGCUGAAGCGCGAAAGCUAGGGUAGCGAACGGGAUUAGAUACCCUUGUAGUCC